GGUGAACGCUGGCGGCGUGCUUAACACAUGCAAGUCGAACGGAAAGGCUCCUGCUUGCAGGGGUACUCGAGUGGCGAACGGGUGAGUAACACGUGGGUGAUCUGCCCUGCACUUCGAGAUAAGCCUGGGAAACUGGGUCUAAUACCGGAUAGGACGAUGGUUUGGAUGCCAUUGUGGAAAGUUUUUCGGUGUGGGAUGAGCUCGCGGCCUAUCAGCUUGUUGGUGGGGUAAUGGCCUACCAAGGCGUCGACGGGUAGCCGGCCUGAGAGGGUGUACGGCCACAUUGGGACUGAGAUACGGCCCAGACGCCUACGGGAGGCAGCAGUGGGGAAUAUUGCACAAUGGGCGCAAGCCUGAUGCAGCGACGCCGCGUGGGGGAUGACGGCCUUCGGGUUGGAAACUCCUUUCGCUAGGGACGAAGCGUUUUGUGACGGUACCUGGAGAAGAAGCACCGGCUAACUACGUG
rnacentral:rRNA from 1 species